rnacentral:ncRNA from 1 species
AUUUUGCUGCCACCGGGUAGCAUAAAACAUUCGCCAGCACAUCGUUAGGUCUUUGAAGAUGUGCCCGCGAAUGUUUUUUUUCG